AUACGUAGGUGGCAAGCGUUAUCCGGAUUUACUGGGCGUAAAGGGCGUGUAGGCGGUCUUGCAAGUCAGAAGUGAAAUUCCUGAGCUCAACUCGGGCGCUGCUUCUGAAACUGCAGGACUUGAGUGCUGGAGGGGAUAGCGGAAUUCCUAGUGGAGCGGUAAAAUGCGCAGAUAUUAGGAAGAACACCGGUGGCGAAGGCGGCUAUCUGGACAGUAACUGACGCUGAGGCGCGAAAGCGUGGGGAGCAAACAGGAUUAGAUACCCGGGUAGUCCACGCCGUAAACGAUGAAUACUAGGUGUAGGGGGUAUCGACUCCCUCUGUGCCGCAGUUAACACAAUAAGUAUUCCGCCUGGGGAGUACGGCCGCAAGGUUGAAACUCAAAUGAAUUGACGGGG
rnacentral:rRNA from 1 species